GAUGAACGCUGGCGGCGUGCCUAAUACAUGCAAGUCGAGCGAACAGACGAGGAGCUUGCUCCUCUGACGUUAGCGGCGGACGGGUGAGUAACACGUGGAUAACCUACCUAUAAGACUGGGAUAACUUCGGGAAACCGGAACUAAGACCGGAUAAUAUAUUGAACCGCAUGGUUCAAUAGUGAAAGACGGUUUUGCUGUCACUUAUAGAUGGAUCCGCGCCGCAUUAGCUAGUUGGUAAGGUAACGGCUUACCAAGGCAACGAUGCGUAGCCGACCUGAGAGGGUGAUCGGCCACACUGGCACUGAGACACGGUCCCGACUCCUACGCGAGGCAGCAGUAGGGAAUCUUCAGCAAUGGGAGAAAGCCUGACGGAGCAACGCCGCGUGAGUGAUGAAGGUCUUCGGCUCGUAAAACUCUGUUAUUAGGGAAGAACAAAUGUGUAAGUAACUAUGAACGUCUUGACGGUACCUAAUCAGAAAGCCACGGCUAACUACGUG
rnacentral:rRNA from 1 species